UACAGAGGUCUCAAGCGUUUGUUCGGAUUCAUUGGGCGUAAAGGGUGCGUAGGCGGCGCGGUAAGUCGGGUGUGAAAUCUCGGAGCUUAACUCCGAGACUGCAUUCGAUACUGCCGUGCUUGAGGACUGGAGAGGAGACUGGAAUUUACGGUGUAGCGGUGAAAUGCGUAGAUAUCGUAAGGAAGACCAGUGGCGAAGGCGGGGUCUCUGGACAGUUCCUGACGCUGAGGCACGAAGGUCAGGGGGAGCAAACGGGG
rnacentral:rRNA from 1 species